GAACAUAACAUGUUGGCUUUACAUACAGAGCAGGGCUGAGAAAUGUACAAACAAGUCUUCAGCCUGGGCCCCAUUCCCAGGUGUGGCUCCCUCUGCUGAGCUGAGGACGCCCUUCAGACCCAGGUUGCUACCUCCCUGAGACCCAGGAGGCAGAAGUAAGGAGGCACUACAUGGACAACCCUGCAUGGGAUUCCCACGGCUGACAGAAGUAUUGAUUUUGGGAGUAGAGCACAGCAGCCUGGGCUUGAUUGUCACUUUGGCAGCUACAGCAUUCACUGCAGCUGUGAACGGUAGCAGUGAAAGCAUACAUCAAUGACUUGCUCCUGACGAGAAUGGGAAUGCUUCUAACAUUUCACAUUCAAGAGAAGGAGCCUUGGAGAAUUCGUUGAAUAAUUGCCCGUAUUUUGGGAUUAUUUGGAAGAGUUAAUAUGGUGAUUCGUUUUCCCUGACCACUUGGGGGAACUGACCCACAAAACUGCCUGCCUUAGAACGGUAGAGGGUGGAUUGAGCUUUAAAUACAUUUUCAGUUUGUGGACGUACCAUUGGUUUUAUCCAUUCACCAAUUGGAAAAAGUAUUGAUUGUCAAUUUCAAAUAA